GGAAAUGAUCUGGCUGCCAUUAUUUGGGCUCCAUUGAUUGCUAAGGUUGUUGGCUAAUUUAACUAGCAAAUUAGAUGCCCUCCUUAUCCACACUGCUCCCAUGGGGACACUUCUGAAGUUGCACGUGAGGAAGGGUCAAUCCCUAAUAAUCAGGUAAAGGAUAAGUAGAUGUUGAAUAUUUGACCAAAGGUGAACAAGUUGUUAUGCGUCUGUACUAGAUCCUUCAAGCUGGACUGGCCAUGUAAUUUGCAGGGCCCAGCAUAAGAUGAAAGUGCAAGACACCUUGUUCAAAAUCUUAAGCAUUU
rnacentral:snRNA from 1 species